GAUGAACGCUGGCGGCGUGCCUAAUACAUGCAAGUCGAGCGAACGGACGAGAAGCUUGCUUCUCUGAUGUUAGCGGCGGGCGGGUGAGUAACACGUGGAUAACCUACCUAUAAUACUGGGAUAACUUCGGGAAACCGUAGCUAAUCCCGGAGAAUAUUUUGAACCGCAUGGUUCAAAAGUGAAAGACGGUCUUGCUGGCGGUUGUAGAGGGACGCGCGGUUGAUCAGCUAGUUGGUAAGGUAUCGGCUUACCACGGCUACGAUGCAUAGCCGGCCUGAGAGGGUGACCGGCCACCGUGGGACUGAGAGACGGCCCAGACUCCUACGGGAGGCAGCAGUGGGGAAUAUUGCACAAUGGGCGGAAGCCUGAUGCAGCAACGCCGCGUGCGGGAUGACGGCCUUCGGGUUGUAAACCGAUUUCGCCUGUGACGAAGCGUGAGUGACGGUAAUGGGUAAAGAAGCACCGGCUAACUACGUG
rnacentral:rRNA from 1 species